CNUGAGGGAUGAAGGUCUUCGGAUUGUAAACCUCUUUCAGUAGGGAAGAAGCGAAGUGACGGUACCUAAAGAAGAAGCACCGGCUAACUAUGUGCCAGCAGCCGCGGUAAUACAUAGGGUGCAAGCGUUGUCCGGAAUUAUUGGGCGUAAAGAGCUCGUAGGUCGUUAAUCACGUCGGAUGUGAAAAUCUGAGGCUCAACCUCAGACCUGCAUUCGAUACGGGUUAACUAGAGUGUGGUAGGGGAGACUGGAAUUCCUGGUGUAGCGGUGGAAUGCGCAGAUAUCAGGAGGAACACCAAUGGCGAAGGCAGGUCUCUGGGCCAUUACUGACACUGAGGAGCGAAAGUUCGGGGAGCGAACAGGAUUAGAUACCCUGGUAGUCCGAACCGUAAACGGUGGACGCUAGUUGUGGGAACCUUCCACGGUUUCCGCGACGCAGCUAACGCAUUAAGCGUCCCGCCUGGGGAGUACGAUCGCAAGAUUAAAACUCAAAGGAAUUGACGGGGGCCCGCACAAGCAGCGGAGCAUGCGGCUUUAAUUCGACGCAACGCGAA
rnacentral:rRNA from 1 species